rnacentral:SRP_RNA from 1 species
GGGUAAGUCCUGCGCGACCAGCUCCCGCUCAAUCCUCCAGGGCCGGAAGGCAGCAAAGGCAGGCGGUUGUAGCGGUGCGACGCAGGGAGCUUACCCCUC